rnacentral:lncRNA from 1 species
UUUUCCUUCUAAAUAAGUUUUGCCUAUUAUUUUGCUUGUUAUAUAGAAUAUCUUCCUCGAGUAGUUCACUUGUUUAUCUUGAAGUUCUAUUAGUCUAAUUUAUGAUGUAUUAUUUAAGAGAAGAAGAAUAUUAAAUAUGAAAAUGAACGAUAUUAUAUAAAAAAAAAAUGAGGAAAGGAAAUUAAAAUCAAAGAAAAAAAAAGCAGAAAAGGUGCGCCAAAAAAGGAAGAAGAAUAAAAUAUAAAUUAAGUUGUUAAAAAAAAUGUUGGUUAAAAUCCAAAAUUCAGUUAUACUCGAUCUACUAGCUUUAUUUUUUAUUAAUUGUACUCUGGAACUGUAGUUUUUUUCUUUGUCAUUGUCAAUAUUCUAGCGGUUGAUUAUAAGUAUUUGCU